rnacentral:sRNA from 1 species
UCUGCUCUGCCCUUUCACCUCCUUUCGCUCCCCAGUCUCCUACUCCACUCCCUCAUUCAUGGUUUGCUCAUGCCCUUUCCCCUGCCCCCAGAUGAGUGAGCAGUUUGCCAGGUACAUUGACCAACAGAUCCAGGGUGGCCUGAUUGGUGGAGCCCCUGGAGUGGAUAUGCUGGGGCAGCUUCAGCGGCACCUGGAACCCAUUAUGGUCCUUUCUGGUCUGGAACUGGCCACAACUUUUGAGCACUUCUAUCAGCAUUAUAUGGCAGACCGUCUCCUGAGCUUUGGUUCGAGCUGGCUGGAGGGGGCUGUGCUAGAGCAGAUUGGCCUCUGUUUUCCCAACCGCCUCCCACAGCUGAUGCUGCAGAGCCUGAGCACCUCUGAGGAGCUGCAGCGCCAGUUCCACCUCUUCCAGCUCCAGCGGCUCGACAAGUUGUUCUUGGAGCAGGAAGAUGAAGAGGAAAAGAGACUAGAGGAAGAGGAGGUCAGAACCAUCCAGUCCUGGACAUGGGACCACAUCGGCGACUGCAGUGGACGUGGCUGGGCCGGGCUGAGCUGCAGUUUGGGAACCAGACACUGCAUGUGUCCACCGUGCAGAUGUGGCUGCUGCUGAAAUUCAAUCAGACAGAGAGCUGCUGCUCCAG